rnacentral:rRNA from 1 species
GACGAACGCUGGCGGCGUGCUUACACCUGCAAGUCGAACGGAAAGGCCCUGCUUUUGUGGGGUGCUCGAGUGGCGAACGGGUGAGUAACACGUGAGUUACCUGCCCUUGACUUUGGGAUAACUUCAGGAAACUGGGACUAAUACCGGAUAGGAGCUCCUUCUGCCUGGUGGGGGUUGGGAAGUUUCGGCGGUUGGGGAUGGACUCGCGGCUUAUCAGCUUGUUGGUGGGGUAGUGGCUUACCAAGGCUUUGACGGGUAGCCGGCCUGAGAGGGUGACCGGCCACAUUGGGACUGAGAUACGGCCCAGACUCCUACGGGAGGCAGCAGUGGGGAAUAUUGCACAAUGGGCGGAAGCCUGAUGCAGCAACGCCGCGUGCGGGAUGACGGCCUUCGGGUUGUAAACCGCUUUCGCCUGUGACGAAGCGUGAGUGACGGUAAUGGGUAAAGAAGCACCGGCUAACUACGUG